UGGGCACCGACGGGCUCGGAUCGGCCCCCGCGACCCUGCCCUGCCUUGCUUUGCCUUACCCUACCCUGCCUGGCUCGGCUUGGCUCGGCUCCGCUCAGCGCAGCCCGACCUGUCUCGCUCCCGGCCGCCCUGCCCCGGCCGUGCCCGCAUCCUGGAGCGGACGGACGGACGGACGGACAGAUGGCCGGCAUCCCCGACGGAGGGAUGUUUCUGUCUUUGGUUAUCUAGCUGUAUGAGUGUUGUGGAGCCAUCAUAAAGCUAGAUAACCGAAAGUAGAAAUGACUUCCAGACCUGCUCGCCCGGGGGAAGCGGCCGCACCAGGACCGGCGGUGCAGAGACGGCCCGACUCGCCGCCUUGGGGCUCCAGUGGGCAUCCCUUGCCGAGGGAGAAGGUAGCACAGCAGGGCCGAGCCACCCGUGCCCACCGGCGUGCAGGGACGGCGAGAGGUGGGAGCCCCCCCGCACCUCGGAGGCAGGUUUUCCACCUUCACUUGCACGGGGUAAUGGCGUCAGAUGCCACGUAGGCCCGCAAAGCUAAAUAUGCCUGUGCACCCUUCCAGGGCCGGCAAAGCACCGCCAUAACCACAGUAAGGAAAAAGGAUCUCAGCCUGAAUUUGGCUAUACCGGGAGAAAGAAAAGUUCUGAGGAGCUGUUAUUAUAUAUUCUAAUGAGAAGUCAUUGGAGAAAUUAAAAAGGGCAGAGAAAGACGAAGACGCCAGCACUAAUUCCGCAGGAAGCCUCCCAGGGAAAAGGCUGUGUGAGUGUGAACGCUGAAAAGCAUGAAGGCCUGGAAUUAGACUAUCAUUUAGAAAGCGUUACUAAUCCGAAGUUACAGCAGUAAUUCCAUGAUUUGCUGGGUCCCACACGCAGCGCCAGAAUUAAAGAUACGGAUUUUCUAGAAAUGUAACUCAACUGUGGCACCGAGUCUCGGGAAGAUCCGAAUGAAUCAUUCAUUCCAAAGGCAGCGAAAGACGUGUCAUUAAGAACCAUCCUCCUUCUCUCCAGCCCAUCUGGAAUAUGUAUACUCGAUGCAAUCCCAGAAAUUGUGGAAGAGAUUGGAGACAUGACUGAGAGUUCGUGGAGUGGGAUGCCUUGGGAAGGGCUGGGACGUCUCCACCUGAGCAAGGAGAGAUCCCAGCGAGUGGAGAAGGGAUUUUUCAAGCCCGUGAGUUCCUUUGAGCCUGCCCAGACUUGCCACUUGACUUCUCCGAGUUUCUCCAGGAGGGUCCCAACUGCUUCUGCAUUGGCCCCAGAGAGGAGGCAGCUUUGAUUCAUGAGCACAGCGGGUUUCUGCAUCACUUCGAAUCACGCCGGUCCACCCAUGGGGAGGGAGCCAGGGCAACACAAGGGAUCAUCCCACAUCACUCCUGUAUGUUGCCUUCAGUGCCCUCAAUACCCCUGAGCAGGACCAAAGCGCUUAGACAGAGACACCCAAGCCAGUCACUGUAACAACUGGUGAAAUACCGGGUGUACGAAGGUUGGAAGGAGCUUUUCGCUCCCAGCUUUGCUCAUGGAGCAGAGCUUGGCCCUUGCUGCUCUUGAUCCCUGGGUCUGUGGAGCUGUGGGAGCACAGCCUUCCCAAAGGUGCUGUGCUUGUGGACCAGAGGACCGUGAGCCUGUCCAGGCCAGACAGCCCUGCUGCUGUUGUGCUGCACCCUCUCUGUUCCUGUAAGAGAAACGUACUGCCUGUAAUUAUCUCCCAUUCAAAUCCCGCCCCCCCAUGCACUGUUGAAAAUAAACUCUCCCUUUUGCAAAAA